rnacentral:lncRNA from 1 species
AUGCAACGCUUCGGAAACGGCUGCUCCGGCGACAUCGCUGGAUGCAACGGUUGGCAACGCUUCGGAAACGGCUGCAACAUCGUUGUAAUCAGCGAUAUGGCACAAGCACAACUCGAUCGCGCUGCGAGACGAGGGAGGAAAACCGAACGGAAACGCAAUUUCUUUUUCAACAGACUUUUCUCCAUGUCGUCCGGCCGGAUCGUCGUGAGUUACGACUCGCUUGACAAUUUCCGAACUGUGGUCCGACUGAUGCCGAAAAGCAAGUACGAGAUAUGUCUGAACGCAAAAGCAUGGAUCGAGUUUGCGAACAAGUAUGAAGACAUAGACCGGUUUUUCAGGGAGCCUUUCGACCACACAUCCACCCUCGGCGAAGACUCAUCGAUCAGCGUGCAAUUCUGCACAACUCCCGCUCAGGCGGUUAGAAUAUGGACCGCUGGUAACCGUUCCUGCUUUCUCCUCGAUAAGGAGGGAUGGCAGCAUCACCGUCUCGCCCUCCCGGCAAUAACUAAUGUAGUCAUACUGUACGAAAAUUUCGAAAGUAAGGUGGUACAAAUUUUCAAGAGCCUGGUCGGAGCCGCGCGCGCCCAACCUUUUUGGCCUGCCGGCCACAGCGUGCAAACAUUGAUGAUAGACUUGAGCCCCUUCGAGGAGUUAUGCAACCCGAAUUACGUGGGUUUAAUUUACGAAUUGAAGUAUAAUUGCGCACAGCAGCUGCUGAAGGCUGCAACAGCGGAGGAUGAGGAGGAGGAGCGCUGUUGAGAAACAUUUGUUUUUUUUUUUAGAAAGAUUUUUCGUUUAUAAAAAAAAGUUUCCUCGCAAGAUUUUUCAUGAAUUUUUAGUUUGCAUCACUCAGGGAUUUUUAAUGUAAAAACAGUUGCUUCGCAAGAUUUUCUGGCAUUUUUCUUAUUUUGCAAGGUUUAGUUUGACUUUGCAAGGAUUUUUUCUGCAAACUUUUCUUUAAACUUUUUCUGUUUGUUUUUUCUCGUUCGGCUUUACCUUGAGAUUUUCUUCCUUGCAAAGGCCUUCUCUCAGGGACUUUUCUUUCUAAAAAAGGUGUCUGUUUUUCUGAUUUGUAAUUUUUUGACUUGCAAAAACCGAGCGCUCAACGUCUUUUUCGCAUCUCGUAUUAUCUAGUCCUGAGCAGGGAUAUUUUUUGUUCAUAAAAAUUACCAUGCAAGAUUGUUUUUUAAUCUUUUUCUGUUUUCAUUUGACACCGCAUGAAACAUUUGUAGCGAAGAAAUUCGUCGUCCUCACGGGGUUUGACUUGCAAGAUUUGUCUAUUUUGUUAUUUAUAGUCUAAGUUUGUUCAAUAAAAUGCAAUGAAUCAAUUUGUUUUUGAACAUGGAUGUUGUUUUUAAAUGCACACCGUCAACCAAGGACUAAAAAAUUAGAAUUCAUUUUUCUCCCCCAUUUUAAUCUCACCGUUUGGAUCAAAUAUUUUUGACAGAUUGCUAAAUCACUCAAAAAAAUCACUCAA